rnacentral:lncRNA from 1 species
UUUUUUUUUUUUUUUGGUCUCUUUGUCUUUUCUAGGGCCGCACAGCAGAUGGAGGUUCCCAGGCUAGGGGUCUAAUCGGAGCUGUAGCCACCAGCCUACGCCAGAGCCACAGUAACGUGGGAUCCGAGCCACGUCUGCGACCUACACCACAGGUCACGGCAACGCCGGAUUGUUAACCCACUGAGCAAGGGCAGGGACCGAACCCGCAACCUCAUGGUUCCUAGUCGGAUUCGUUAACCACUGAGCCACGAUGGGUACCCCCAAUAAGUAUUUUUUGAGCACCUAUUAGGUACACAUGUUGGGUGCUAUGGACACAGCAAUGACCAGGGAGCUUAUAUGCUGAUUGGGGCACAUAUUAUACACCAACCAACCAAUAAAUAAUAUUUCAGGUAGGGCUGGUGUUAUGAAGAAAAAUAAAGCGAGGUUGUGGGUGGUGGGAGAAAGACAGGUGACCUUUAAAAGAAGGUCAGGAAACUGUUGCUCUCUGAAAAUUGUAGUUUGGAUCUGAGCUGUAGCCGUGAAUGUCCUGAGAGGUGGGGAGAAUCUUGAUACAUUUCGAUUGCAGAGCCUAUACAUUUGUGGAAGAUUGGAAGAGGGAUGCAACAAAGACGACUCUUAGUUUGGGAUAGGAAGAUGAGGAUAUAGAGGAUUUUGCUAAUAACAGACAGAGUCUUGAAAACAAAAGUCUGAGGGGUUGGGGCUGGAGGUGGCAUUGGGUUAGAUUCGGAAAUGCAUAGGGCCAUAGUACGGUAACAGUGGGAGGAUGGUGAUGGACUGGGUCCUGGCCUGACGUAAUCAAGGAUAUAGGCUUUUUUCUGGUGGUCUCCAGAGCAGGUUGUGAUGAUAAGGUUGUUAAGUGAUGGUAGAGGUUGAGGGGGGAAAACUCCCAGGAGACACAGGGCUCUGUGGGACCCCACCUCAGUCGCAGCAAAGGGGUGUCAAUUUUGAUGGAGGAUUGGUUGCACUGGAGUAAGUCAAACUCUGUGGGUACCCUCUGGCACCAGAGCUACGCCAUUCCUAGGAUAUUUGGCGACCCAGGCAAAUAGGUUUUGUUUGGCCUCUUUCUAUAUAAACAACUAGAUUAAAAAAUGUUUCACAAAAUUCACAAGUCCAUGGGAGGUAUACUGAUCUAUUCCUGAAGAUUUAGAAUAAUGGGCAAGGAUGUGUUACUUUUUAAAUCUUCUAAUCAGUCAGAACAUGGGAUGAUUCUUUAUAGUAUCCAGGAACCAUCUCUUCCUAUUCAGGUUCAAGUCCUAUUCAUAUUCUUCAUGUUUUUCUCUUUUUGGUCACAUGUUCUUUUCCAAGCCAAUUUCAUAUAUAUAUAUAUAUUUGGUCUUUUGUCUUUUUGUUGUUGUUGUUGUUGCUAUUUCUUGGGCCGCUCCCGCGGCAUAUGGAGGUUCCCAGGCUAGGGGUUGAAUCGGAGCUGUAGCCACCGGCCUACGCCAGAGCCACAGCAACGUGGGAUCCGAGCCGCGUCUGCAACCUACACCACAGCUCACGGCAACGCCGGAUCCUUAACCCACUGAGCAAGGGCAGGGACCGAACCCGCAACCUCAUGGUUCCUAGUCGGAUUCGUUAACCACUGCGCCACGACGGGAACUCCCAAUUUCAUAUUUUUCACCACAAGGAAAAGUCAUUGCUCAUGACACUGAAGCCCUUUGGAGGCUCUAAAUAACAUGAAUCCUUCUUGGCUCUGUGGAUCCCUAAUACCAUCUGUUUCAUGCUGGUUACACCAAAACUCAUGGUGUGGUAUCAUCUAUCACACCACUCAUCAAUGCUGGCUUCCAAUGACUCUCACUAUGCUUCUUCGAUGAUGACCGCAAAUGCAAGCCUUAACUAGACUGUGCAGAAAAGUGAAUGAUAAUUUUCUUUUACUCAUUGGUCAAAAAUUAGGUUGAUUUUUUAAAAAAUUUUUGUAAUGUGAACAUAGAAAAAACCCCAUCUGGUUCAAAUUCUCUUGAAUUCUUUAGUCCAUAGUUGCUACGUUCCUAGAAUAUCGUCUCUUUCAAUGUUGACUAUGCUCUGACUUCUGCAUGGCACUCAGUGAGGACAACAGGGCAGUGGUCAAUGGGCAGAACAACUAGAGUAGAUCCUUUAGCCAAUGUGUAGGACCUCCGAUCCUAUUCCCUCAGGGGUUAGGACGGGUCUGGGACAUUAUGAGGUCAUGAUAUCAAUCAGAGGCAAGAGAAGACUUCAGUUAGAAGGACUGUUGGUCCUGCUGUGUAAUGGUUUCAAAAGCCUUUGGGGAGAUAAGUAUGGGCAUCCAUAGAGCUGUGCCACCAGAAGUGGUGGUAGAGCCUGUGAGACGGUGUGCCUGUGACACAGGGUGCACAGGGUAAAACGCCUCCCCUAUUGCCUCCAGGUACUGUAGAGUGGAAGCAGCUCUGUGCUUAAAGCACAACUUAGCAAGAUCUGAUCAAUGAGUUCACAUGGAUGGUCCAAGCCCAUGGGUCUUCAGAACUCUGAAAUUGUUCUCUACCCAACAUGAAUGAAGACUACUCAAAAAAAAAAAAAACCAAAAAAACAAAAAACAAAAAACAAAAAAAACAAAAAACAAAACCAACAAAAAAACAAACAAAAAAAAGACUCUUUGAAUCAGCCUAUCAGCACCAGUGUAGCGGUCCAAUCUCAAAAGAUAUUCUUUCUGGUCAGCUUACCUGGCCACCCAUCUGAGAUAGAUCCAGGUAAUGGCACCCCAGAUAGGGUCAAAUCCUGGAGCUACUCCAUGCAUCUGGUAGACCUCAAAUAGGAGGUGCUUUUGAGGGUUGGAGAGCAACCGAAGAGGAGAAACAAAAAACCCAGGCCUGCACCACAUGAUUCCCAGCUGGGGCUCAAGGAGCCUACCUGGAGGUCCAAGGUACACCCUCCUUCUCCCUCCUCCUUGCCUUCCCUCCCCUGGGACUGUUCAGCUCUGAGGGUGGUACUGUCUGCACUGCAGGGCAAAACCUAGCAAAAUCAAAUUUAAUUUUACUUUAGACUUUGGCCUCAAACUUAGCAGCAAAUCAGACCUUUGUUUAAUCACAGGAUUAUAAAUAUUCUGUACCUUCCCAUACUCUUAUCAGUGUAGAGAUAGCAUUUACAACAAAAUACCUGGCAAAACAAAGUGCUUUUCAAAUCCAAUGAUUUAUUUAUUUCCCUUUAAUUAAAGCCAAUUCCCUUUUUAAGGGGAUGCUUAUUUCUGAGAGUCUAUUUUCCUUUCUCAGAAUAAAAGCUUGCUUAUACUAUUCUUGUCCUUGGACUAGUACUAAGACCCCAGUAUUUGUUCCCAGUACUAAGAUCAAAGUUGCCUAGGACACACAAAACACAUUUGUGUGCUCCUGUAAGUAUCAGAAGCAACAAGGCAGGAGUGAACUCAAGCCACAUGUCACCUCUGGACCACUGCUUUUAUAUUUGAUAAGGCAUAGGAUGACAGAGGGAAAAGGUCUGGUAAAGACUUGGACUGCCCCAAUCUGAAGCCCCAGAGGGCUCUCCCUGGGCAUCCUCUCUGCCUGCUGGUGAGUCCUGCCCAAGCAUUGUGUGGAGUCCUGCCCAAGUUUAAAUUUGUUGGUCUACUUCAUGGCUCUGUAUCUUGUUCCUCUCCCAGUUUUACUUGUUUCACGUGUAAUUCAUACCAAGGAAGAAUUCAAAUGCACAAUUUUAGGGAAAGGAGGCCUAUUCACAAAACUUUGUGAAAACUUGGUUUUCUAAAUUUAAGUAUUAAUUGAUGCUAUAAUGUCCAUAAUGUUUUAUCAUUGAGUUAAUCCUCAUAUCAGCAGUGACUGUUCCUCAAAGAGAUAUAGGCAGUCCUUGACCUUCACACAACUUCUACAGGGUCUCCCCGCUCUCCUAUGUUGAAUCUUCAGAACACUGCAGACCAGGGCUUUUAUAUUCCAGCUGACAAACAAAUGUUAAGUCAUUUUAUGCUAGUUCUUCCUGCCUCCCAACAUUCUAUCUUUGGCAAUUGCUAUUUGUGGGUACUUUGUGUCUAUCUAAUAAUCUGAAUACCAAUAGCACUUUUCUAUUUUAUCUUAUCCAAAUGAAUGGAAGGUGACAGAAUGAAGGAAGGUGCCAAUACCAGUGAUAAUGCAAUUCAGUGUGCUGAAGGCUGGUCAGCUCAACCUCCACAGACAUCAAAUGGCUGUGAGUUUAGUUGCAGAGGAAGAGAACCAACUGGAGAGGAUGGAUGACAUUGUGACAUAUCAUCCAAGGCAAGAGCUGUCCAUGGAGGAACUGUGGUGCCUGUGAAGUAUGGAUUGAGAAUGAGCAGGGAUCCCAAUGCAGCCUUCUCACUGACCUCUUCUCAGAGAUGAAGAUGGCUAUCAUUCCACUGUCUCUUGAAAAUCAUUUUAAGAAAACUUACCUGAUACCAUUAACUAGAAUUUCUAUCAGCUAGUUGUUACCCCAGCUUUACAUAUGUUUCUUCUCUAGGCUGAGAUAACUGGCAGCUGAGGUAGGGAACAAUUUCAAAGCACAUAUUUUUAUUAUCUAUAAUGUUUAUUGUUUUUAAUGUGUUGAAUAAUAUGUCCACAUUGCAUAUGCAAGCAAAAACGACGUCUUUAAUCACAAUUAUGGAUUUUACAAUGUCCUGAGCUCUUAAGAGGCAGAAUCUUCUAUAUGCCUAUUGUUUAGCUCUCACUACUCAACUUUCAAAUACACUUUCAGGAAUUCAUUUUAUACAAAUGUAAGGGACUUUAUAUACGAUUUUUCUGGGAGAUGAUCUCUCUCAUCUUGGGAGAUGGUGUUCUUUUGAAAAAGAAUGUUCCCUCUUACAACACAAAUGUUGAAUCUGUUUUCUGUAUGUUUCCAUACAUAAAUAAGGCAGAAGUACCCUUCAAUAUCAAGGCCAGUACCUUGCUCACUGGCUUUGAGGCUGAUGACUGCUCCUAGAGACACUGAAAAAGCAACAAGCAAAUCACCCUCCCAGGCCACUGACGGUUAUGGGUGUGACCAAGUACUAGGGAUAUUGUCGCCACGACUCAGGGAGAAAUGACCGUUUGAUGUUGAAGAAACUAAGAAUCAAGGGGAUGCUGUUUAAUCUUCACAGGACAAAUGAGGUCAGACCCUACUCUUAUCCCCAUGGCUUGCCUUUCCCUGGAGACUAAGGUUUGAACAAAAUCAAAACUUGAAACAAAAAUGCUCAGUUCUACAUAGAUCAAGGACAGAUACCUUUGCCAGUAGGGCUGUUUUAACUUUUCUCUAAAUAUUUUACAGUGGAGUCUCUCUUAGCAUUGUGCUCCGAGUAGUCCAGAACUUAUGGUGACCCGUCUUUUUUAAAAAACCUUCUCUAAAAAUAUAGAUUUCUAAGUAUAUGUUUCCUUUAUAUUUUGAAGUUAUAAUCCCUUGUUUAUGACUAAAUGUUUAGAGAUAUCAAAGUAAAACACUUUAGUAAUAGAUAUAUCUCAUCUGGAUUUUGAAGAAAUGAAAAGCAUCAAUUUAAAAAUCCAGGAAUUCCCAUUGUGGCUCAGUGGGUUGAGGAUCCAGCAUUGCCACAAGCUGUGGUAUAGGUCACAGAUGUGGCUCAGAUCUGGUGGUGGUGUUGCUGUGAUGUAGGCCUGCAGCUUCAGCUCUAAUCCAACCCCCAGCCUGGAAACUUCCAUAUGCUGUGGGUUCAGCCAUAAAAAGAAAAAAAAUUAUAAAUUUAGAUAUUUAAUAAUGGUGUUUACUUGAUUUUCUGGGUUAGAUUGUGUUUGACACCUAUUAGGCCAGAUUCCCAGUGGACAAUGUAGGCAAUGUAAUUGAAACAUCACUAAAGAUGGUGGAUGGAGAUUUAUGUACAGAGUCAGAAAUUUGAGAAGGUGAAAUAGUCUAUAAGAUAUGAAACCAAUUUUGCAAAUAUACUUACACAAAUGCACAGGAAAGAAAAGUCUGGGAGGCUAUAUGCUCAAGUGUUAAUAGUGCUUACACCUGGUUGAUGGGAUUAUGGGCUUUAUUUCAUUUUCUGCCUUUUUCAAAAUUUCUAUACUACAAAGGGAUAUGUACAUAGAAACAAGCAAUGCUUUUUAAAAAUGGAAAGGAGGAAUUUUGGAGCAGGAGGGUAAUCCUGUGAUAGCCUCACUAUUCUACAGAUUCUCAGUAUUCCUGAGUUGAAAUGGGCCUUAUAGAAAAGGAAAAAAGGAUUCUAACUUCGCAUUAUUCCGCUAAUGAUGUAGCCAUCCCUCUUUGCAUUUCAUCUGUGAUUUUUUUUUCUUUUUAUGGCUACACCUGUGGCAUAUGGAAGUUCCCAGGCUAGGGAUCAAAUUGCUACACCACAGCCAUGGCAACACUGGAUCUGAGCUGCAUCUGUGACCUACGCCUCAGCUGGAGGCUAUGCUGGAUCCUUAACCCACUGAGCAAGGCCAGGGCUUGAACCUGCAUCCUCACAGACACUGUUGGGUUCUUAACCUGCUGAGCCACAAUGGGAACUCCUCAUGUGUGAAAUUUUAAUGCUUUCUUCACAUGUAAUUACAGGGCUUAAAGUCACUAAAUCACUCAACUCCCAAACCUUGAAUAACUCCUUUCUAUACCUGAAAGUUUUAAAAUUUAUUAAAAAGCUCAGAGCCAACAAGAAGGCAGAGAUGCUCAGGUUCAGGAAUAAUUAGGUAUUCAUAGAUAUUGAUUGCAGAAAAAAAUAUGUACUGAAGCCAAAA